rnacentral:misc_RNA from 1 species
UUCCAGCGUUUAUGAAGAUCACCUUGCUCUACCUGGAAAGUUCCCCCCAUGCAAAAAGCAACGAGUUUUCCCAAUCUCUCCACUAACACCAACGUACUUUCCGAGGCACGAUAGAUUUCAUGAGCUUUAUCCUCUAGCUCCUUAAGCCGUGAGUCGCCACGCCCAUCAAUGAGAACCACCUCCAUUGAUGCCUCACUGGGUUCAAUUUCUCUAAGUGAAAUUAAAGGCGGCAGCCGCCUUCCUUCCUCUUC